AUUAAACGCUGGCGGCAUGCCUUGCACAUGCAAGUCGAACGGCAGCACGGGGGCAACCCUGGUGGCGAGUGGCGGACGGGUGAGUAAAGCAUCGGAACGUAUCCUGGAGUGGGGGAUAACGUAGCGAAAGUUACGCUAAUACCGCAUAUUCUGUGAGCAGGAAAGCAGGGGAUCGCAAGACCUUGCGCUCUGGGAGCGGCCGAUGUCGGAUUAGCUAGUUGGUGGGGUAAAGGCCUACCAAGGCGACGAUCCGUAGCGGGUCUGAGAGGAUGAUCCGCCACACUGGGACUGAGACACGGCCCAGACUCCUACGGGAGGCAGCAGUGGGGAAUUUUGGACAAUGGGCGCAAGCCUGAUCCAGCCAUGCCGCGUGAGUGAAGAAGGCCUUCGGGUUGUAACGACGUCUUCGGUUCGGGGAAGGAAAGUAGUGACGGUAAGUACCUACGUGUAGUAGUAG
rnacentral:rRNA from 1 species